UACGUAGGGGGCGAGCGUUGUCCGGAUUUAUUGGGCGUAAAGCGCGUGUAGGCGGCUUGGUAGGUCUGCUGUGAAAACUCGGGGCUCAACCCCGAGACGUCGGUGGAAACCACCUGGCUAGAGUCCGGAAGAGGAGAGUGGAAUUCCCGGUGUAGCGGUGAAAUGCGCAGAUAUCGGGAAGAACACCCGUGGCGAAGGCGGCUCUCUGGGACGGUACUGACGCUGAGACGCGAAAGCGUGGGGAGCGAACAGG
rnacentral:rRNA from 1 species